rnacentral:rRNA from 2 species
UUUUUUAAUUAAAAACUGGAAUGAAUGGUUGAACGAGGUAUUAACUGUCUCUAUAAAAUUAAAAUUGAAUUUUACAUUUAAAUUAAAAGGUUUAAAUAAAAUUAAAAGACGAGAAGACCCUAUAGAUCUUUAUAUAUUUUUAGAAUAAUAAUUUUUAUUUAAAUUAAUUUUUUUUCUAUUUAUAUAUUUUAUUGGGGUGAUAGAAAAAUUUAAAAAACUUUUUUUAUUUAUUUUUUCACUUAUCCGUGAAUUUUUGAUCCUUUAUUAUUGAUUAAAAAAAUAAGUUACCUUAGGGAUAACAGCGUAAUUUUUUUUGAAAGUUCAUAUUUAUAAAAAAGAUUGC